GUGGAUUAGAUACCCGGGUAGUCCACGCCGUAAACUAUGGACGCUAGCCGUUGUCCAGCUUGCUGGUCAGUGGCGCAGCUAACGCAUUAAGCGUCCCGCCUGGGGAGUACGGCCGCAAGGUUGAAACUCAAAGGAAUUGACGGGGGCCCGCACAAGCGGUGGAGCAUGUGGUUUAAUUCGACGCAACGCGCAGAACCUUACCAGGGUUUGACAUCCUGUGCUCGCCGGAGAGAUCCGGUUUUCCCGCAAGGGACGCAGAGACAGGUGCUGCACGGUUGUCGUCAGCU
rnacentral:rRNA from 1 species